rnacentral:rRNA from 2 species
UAAGCGACUAAGCGUACACGGUGGAUGCCCUGGCAGUCAGAGGCGAUGAAGGACGUGCUAAUCUGCGAAAAGCGUCGGUAAGGUGAUAUGAACCGUUAUAACCGGCGAUGUCCGAAUGGGGAAACCCAGUGCAAUUCGUUGCACUAUCGUUAACUGAAUACAUAGGUUAACGAGGCGAACCGGGGGAACUGAAACAUCUAAGUACCCCGAGGAAAAGAAAUCAACCGAGAUUCCCCCAGUAGCGGCGAGCGAACGGGGAGCAGCCCAGAGUCUGAAUCAGCUUGUGUGUUAGUGGAACGGUCUGGAAAGUCCGACGGUACAGGGUGAUAGUCCCGUACACCAAAAUGCACAGGCUGUGAACUCGAAGAGUAGGGCGGGACACGUGGUAUCCUGUCUGAAUAUGGGGGGACCAUCCUCCAAGGCUAAAUACUCCUGACUGACCGAUAGUGAACCAGUACCGUGAGGGAAAGGCGAAAAGAACCCCGGCGAGGGGAGUGAAAAAGAACCUGAAACCGUGUACGUACAAGCAGUGGGAGCACCUUCGGGUGUGACUGCGUACCUUUUGUAUAAUGGGUCAGCGACUUAUAUUCUGUAGCAAGGUUAACCGUAUAGGGGAGCCGCAGGGAAACCGAGUCUUAACUGGGCGUUAAGUUGCAGGGUAUAGACCCGAAACCCGGUGAUCUAGCCAUGGGCAGGUUGAAGGUUGGGUAACACUAACUGGAGGACCGAACCGACUAAUGUUGAAAAAUUAGCGGAUGACUUGUGGCUGGGGGUGAAAGGCCAAUCAAACCGGGAGAUAGCUGGUUCUCCCCGAAAGCUAUUUAGGUAGCGCCUCGUGAACUCAUCUUCGGGGGUAGAGCACUGUUUCGGCUAGGGGGUCAUCCCGACUUACCAACCCGAUGCAAACUACGAAUACCGAAGAAUGUUAUCACGGGAGACACACGGCGGGUGCUAACGUCCGUCGUGAAGAGGGAAACAACCCAGACCGCCAGCUAAGGUCCCAAAGUCAUGGUUAAGUGGGAAACGAUGUGGGAAGGCACAGACAGCCAGGAUGUUGGCUUAGAAGCAGCCAUCAUUUAAAGAAAGCGUAAUAGCUCACUGGUCGAGUCGGCCUGCGCGGAAGAUGUAACGGGGCUAAACCAUGCACCGAAGCUGCGGCAGCGACACUAUGUGUUGUUGGGUAGGGGAGCGUUCUGUAAGCCUGCGAAGGUGUGCUGUGAGGCAUGCUGGAGGUAUCAGAAGUGCGAAUGCUGACAUAAGUAACGAUAAAGCGGGUGAAAAGCCCGCUCGCCGGAAGACCAAGGGUUCCUGUCCAACGUUAAUCGGGGCAGGGUGAGUCGACCCCUAAGGCGAGGCCGAAAGGCGUAGUCGAUGGGAAACAGGUUAAUAUUCCUGUACUUGGUGUUACUGCGAAGGGGGGACGGAGAAGGCUAUGUUAGCCGGGCGACGGUUGUCCCGGUUUAAGCAUGUAGGCUGGUUAUCCAGGCAAAUCCGGAUAAUCAAGGCUGAGGUGUGAUGACGAGGCACUACGGUGCUGAAGUAACAAAUGCCCUGCUUCCAGGAAAAGCCUCUAAGCAUCAGGUAACAUCAAAUCGUACCCCAAACCGACACAGGUGGUCAGGUAGAGAAUACCAAGGCGCUUGAGAGAACUCGGGUGAAGGAACUAGGCAAAAUGGUGCCGUAACUUCGGGAGAAGGCACGCUGGUGUGUAGGUGAAGUCCCUGCGGAUGGAGCUGAGACCAGUCGAAGAUACCAGCUGGCUGCAACUGUUUAUUAAAAACACAGCACUGUGCAAACACGAAAGUGGACGUAUACGGUGUGACGCCUGCCCGGUGCCGGAAGGUUAAUUGAUGGGGUUAUCCGUAAGGAGAAGCUCUUGAUCGAAGCCCCGGUAAACGGCGGCCGUAACUAUAACGGUCCUAAGGUAGCGAAAUUCCUUGUCGGGUAAGUUCCGACCUGCACGAAUGGCGUAAUGAUGGCCAGGCUGUCUCCACCCGAGACUCAGUGAAAUUGAACUCGCUGUGAAGAUGCAGUGUACCCGCGGCAAGACGGAAAGACCCCGUGAACCUUUACUAUAGCUUGACACUGAACAUUGAGCCUUGAUGUGUAGGAUAGGUGGGAGGCUUUGAAGCGUGGACGCCAGUCUGCGUGGAGCCAACCUUGAAAUACCACCCUUUAAUGUUUGAUGUUCUAACGUUGGCCCCUGACCGGGGUUGCGGACAGUGUCUGGUGGGUAGUUUGACUGGGGCGGUCUCCUCCCAAAGCGUAACGGAGGAGCACGAAGGUUAGCUAAUCCUGGUCGGACAUCAGGAGGUUAGUGCAAUGGCAUAAGCUAGCUUGACUGCGAGCGUGACGGCGCGAGCAGGUGCGAAAGCAGGUCAUAGUGAUCCGGUGGUUCUGAAUGGAAGGGCCAUCGCUCAACGGAUAAAAGGUACUCCGGGGAUAACAGGCUGAUACCGCCCAAGAGUUCAUAUCGACGGCGGUGUUUGGCACCUCGAUGUCGGCUCAUCACAUCCUGGGGCUGAAGUAGGUCCCAAGGGUAUGGCUGUUCGCCAUUUAAAGUGGUACGCGAGCUGGGUUUAGAACGUCGUGAGACAGUUCGGUCCCUAUCUGCCGUGGGCGCUGGAGAAUUGAGGGGGGCUGCUCCUAGUACGAGAGGACCGGAGUGGACGCAUCACUGGUGUUCGGGUUGUCAUGCCAAUGGCACUGCCCGGUAGCUAAAUGCGGAAGAGAUAAGUGCUGAAAGCAUCUAAGCACGAAACUUGCCCCGAGAUGAGUUCUCCCUGAGACUUUAAGUCUCCUGAAGGAACGUUAAAGACGAUGACGUUGAUAGGCCGGGUGUGUAAGCGCAGCGAUGCGUUGAGCUAACCGGUACUAAUGAACCGUGAGGCUUAACCU